UUAACUAUUAUAUAGUACUCGGACGACAUGAUUACGUUAGGUUUGGAGGUCCUCUGGCGGGCGCACACCAGCGGGGCGCCGGUGGCCGGGACGGACGGCCCGCCAAAGCAACAAAGGUAAGGUAAGCAGGGUGGGAGAUCUACCCCGGGGGGCAUGAGCUCGGUAAUGAUCCUUCCGCAGGUUCACCUACGGAAA
rnacentral:misc_RNA from 1 species